AGUUUGUAAUGCAUUUAAAUGUCUCUGCGUUUGCUGAGAUAAAGCAGACAUUCUAAAUUGGGUAAACAAGAAAAAUAUGAAUUGUCAGUGAAUCAAGUUGGAGACAUUUCAAGCAAAUCACUGAGAGAAUCAAUAUUAUGUCAAGGUUUAUUCCAUAUCUUCAUUAAUGAUCCAGAAAUAUAGCGAGCGUCAGAGAAGACUGACAUAGAAAACAAAGGCAAUAGGAAGGUGGAACAGGCUGCCAUCAAGGGACUGCUGUGACUAUAAGAAAAUAAAGAGUAGUUAUAGCCACAACUGGAAAAGAGCUAACCGUUAGCGCUCAGAAUAACAUUACUAACAGUACCUGCACUUGGAGUAGAAAUGGCUGAGUCAUCCUUGAUGUAGGUCAGAGCAGGAUAUAGUUUCUUCUAAAUCUGAAAUUGCUUGAGGAAGACAGUUGUUGACCCUGGCCUGCUGCAACAUCAGAAAGAGGGGUACGUAGCUAUGAUUAACAUUGAAAACAUAAAAGUUGUUGCCAGUUUUUCUGAUGGAGAUCUUCCCUGUGGAGCAGAAGAUGCUGGAGCACUUCAUUUACUUGAGGAGAACUGCUGUGCCUGGAAACCCAAACAACGAGGCUGUGCCGCAGAAACUAUUGAGUCUCAGAUUCUUUCUGCUUAAGCUCUGAUGAUAUUGAUGGCUUCUGACUCAAAGAGAACUAAAACAAAAGCCUUUUCAUAUGUUGGAUUUGGUCACAAAGGAGGUGAAGGGUGUUUCCUUUCACGCUGCUGCUGCAGCCAGCAAAGAGGUACCAUACAGCCCUGCUGUGUUUCCCUAGUCAGGUGAGACUCUCCUGGCACCAGAACACUUGGUGAGCUCCGGCAAAGCUGGUGCACUGCAGUGAGACAAAACACCAGGCUACAGUGGCUACCGCUAACGUGACUCAAAACGACGUUGCUGGCUCAGACUGCUGUAAACCCCCGAAGUUCACGGCUGUAUUUUCAGCUUGAAGCUACUUCCAGCCCUAAAUUCAAGAACAUUAAGUCACCAGCUGCUGUGACAGCCCUGAGCCAUCCACUGAACUUCUUCAGCCUCUUCUUGGGAUGCAGCGAUUAGCACCUGGCAGCUUGGACAACUAUUGCAAGGCAAGAUGAAGAGCCAUAGGGCUGAACCAACUUCUAUAUGGAAGAAACUUAAGAUCUCACAAAAAAAAACAAGAGCUCUGUAUCACAGAUAAAGAGAACUGAGUGAUCCCUCAACAUUCCAGAAAAUGUUACCUGCCAGAAGAAUCGUAGAGACUGAUUUACCAGGAAAAAUGGAAAGAGGAAUGAUUCUGAGACUCAAGAAAAGAUAAAGAGAUACGUAUAAAGGCAAGAGGCUGAGGAAUGGCAGCCACCCUAAAGGAGGAUGAGGAAAAACUGGACUGGGGUGAAGAGCAACUGUUCUGCAGCUCGAGGAAGACCCUGGAGUGGGGCCUGUUAACCCAUGGUUAUACCAAGAGACAGAGUGGUGGAUUUCCAGCACUGCAGACAUCAAAGACAGGACAGGUGCUACAGUGUUGUUGGGGCUCAUCAGGUGCAAGUUGUUGUCAUAUACUACUGCCCUAAUCAAGGGAGCUCUGAUUCAGCAGAUGAAAAGGAAAACACAAACAGCAGGCCUGGAAGAACUGACCAUUGAAAAGCUCCAGGCUGUUUGCGCAGAUACAUGGGACCCCACAAGUCCAAACACCAUAAGUAACAUCUGGAUAGAUAUGCUGCAGCUCACCCAUGAGGAGGUCAGGUGUGGAGAAAUGAGUGGAUCUGAGGGGAAUCACCUGAAGUCCCUCCUGUAUUAUCGCUUUGAAAAAGGACUAUGAGAGCUGAAUGCAGCAUUCCAGCUGAGGAAGUCUGUAUCCAUUCUACUGCAUACGGAGAGGGUAGUUCCACUGAAUCAUUCAUAAAUAGCUCUGUACCUUUUCCUCAUUAAUUAAAUUAAUUUAAAACCUAAGACUGUGGAACAAUAGUAGAAUUAUUUCACAUGUUGAGUUUAUAAGGAUAUUUCUUCUAAACAAUAAAAGCAUUUGAAAAUAUAGCUCAAACUGUUUUAGAAUUUUAUCAUUAGCAUCUUAACAUAUUUUCCUGUUCUUUCAGAUUGCUCCUCGCAAUAUGCGUUCUUUGGCUAUCAUCUCUUAUCUGUUCAUCUAACCCCACUGGGUUUCUGAAAUGCUACACAUUUUUCUUUGAUUUUGUCUAGCUGACAGAAUUCUGUAUUACUUGCAAAAUCUAUCACCUCACCAUUUGUGUACUUUUACCAAAUGAUUGAUUAAUUCAUUAGGCAAGUUCACCUCCAGUAUGCCCCAACAGGACUUCUGCAGUGCUGAAAAAUGUCCAUUAGCCAUCAGUGCUUUGUUUCCAAUCUCUCAGUGAAUUUCCCAUCCAGGACAGUCAUUUACCUCUGCCCCUAUGAGUAUCUGGUUUCCAGAAUAGGAUCUUAUGGGAGACUUUUUGAGUCAGUAAUUAUAGCUGGUAGGUCUUCUUCCUCCAUGGUCCUGUGAUGGUUCAGAAACAAUUAUCUGAGACUACAAAGGUAAGGUUUUUAACUACAGCAAUAGGGAUGGUUAGUCUUUGUAUGUCAGUGUUA